rnacentral:rRNA from 1 species
UGUGUAGGCGGUUCUCUAAGUUUGGUGUGAAAUCUCCCGGCUCAACUGGGAGGGUGCGCCGAAUACUGAAGGACUAGAGUACGGGAGAGGAGAGUGGAAUUCCUGGUGUAGCGGUGAAAUGCGUAGAUAUCAGGAGGAACACCGGUGGUGUAGACGGCUCUCUGGACCGUAACUGACGCUGAGACACGAAAGCGUGGGUAGCAAACA